CUUCUGUCUGAAGGCAGGAGGAAGUAAAAGAUAAAAUUUCCAAGCCCCUUCCAGCCCUAGGGUUUUAGGAAAAAAUUUAAUCAUGUUUUACACCACCAGAUGUAAGCACAUAUUGUAACUGCGGGGGCAACAUGAAAUUGAGGACAAUCAUGCUCUUUCACUUAGAUGAGGGCAAGACGCACUCCGCUUAAACUGUGAUUAGAAGGAUGGAGGUCAGACAGAAAUCCCUUUGUGAUGUCAGGGGAUCUGUUUCAUGGGAACGGGGCCCGAGGCCGACUUCUCAGGGGGGCCAUUUGCGAGCUGGGAGGACUGUGGUGUGCAGAGGCAGGAGUUAAGGGUGACGAAACAUUUUGACAUAAGGAGAACUUUCCAGAAGUUAAGGCUGAGAAACCUUGCGGUGGGUGGUUGGGAAUUGAGACGGUCCCAGAAUCAGCAAAACUAAGGCCAGAUCCUUAAUGCUCUUCCAUUGAUUUGGAGGUCUUUCUGUCUGGUAGGGGGAUGGGAGGGCUCCUAGAGAUCCAGCUUGUUUAGAGCUUGGACUUUGGAGUCGGACAGACUGGGUUAAUUGCCUCCAUUGUCAUGUACCAGUUGUUGACCUUGUAUGAGUUCCUUAACCAUCCCAGAUUCCUUGUGGUAUGGGUACGCCCCCUCCAGAGCUUAAGUGUGAGCAUUAGAUGAGUCAGGGCCGGCGACACACCUAGCACUGUGCUUGGCACACAGUAAGCGUCAAGAGGCUCUGACAUAGACAUGUGAAACCCUGUCCUCCUUGGACAAGCUCCAGGUUGGGGCAGGAGAGCCCCUGUGCUGUUGGAUGACAAAUGCUUUCUGUGUUUCAAAAUGAAGGCAGAUUGAAACUUGAUAUUUUUUUGAUCAAAAACCUUAAGGCAAGGCAAGGCUUGGUGGAGCACCGAAAGUCCUGUUUUCUGUGACUGGGGGUCUCCGGCAGGAUGUUGGAAUGUCUCUGCUCCCCCUGACGUCCUUCUGCUGCUUUGGUGACUGCCCACAGACAGACCAGCUCCCAGUCAUCUGAAACACCACUCAGAAGGCAGGAAUUUGCAAUCCGUUCCAAGCUGGAAGUGACUUUCAUGUGAUGGGGCCGCACUGCUCUGUGACUCUGUAACCAAUUCUCCCCACGCUGGCAGCUCUCCAGAUGCCUGGGAUGUGAUCAGUUGACCAAACAAAACGGCAGGUCCGUCCAGGAGAACGCUGUGUCUGGCUUCGGGAGCAAAAGCUCCCAGCACGUGCAAAACUCAGGCCCCAAGUUUCUUCAUGUUUUUCUCUGUUCUUUUCAGGCAGCUCUUUUUAGACAGCCACUCUCAGCUGCUGUGGGUCAGCGGGAUUGAGGACGCGGCAGCCAAGCGCAGUUGGGGCCCGGGCUUCACAUCUGCUGCCUGCCUUUGCCAAACAGCUGUGUUCUGAGCCAGCAGCGUGAUGAUGCUCACCUGCAGGAAAUGUGGGUCGUGGAGUUGGUCUGCAGGCCGAGGGGGAUAAAGAGCGGACGGUUCCACUCCGACAGGUGGGCCAGCCGAUCGGGAAGGGGCUCGCGCCGUGCGAAAAGAAUGUCUUGCUCUUAGUAAUGCUUGAGGGUGACCUGGCUGUUGGAGAAGACCCUGGGCAGGACACCAGUGCAGCUUGGCUGAGAACCCGCAGUCCCUGGGCCCGGGGCUUAUGACGGUGAGGAUCCUGACGGGAGUCUCCCCCCAAGCUCCCGAGUGGGGCCGGGGAGAGACAGAAUGACAGAGGGGAAAAACGGCGGACACAUAGAGGCGUCAGCUGAACACACAAGUCUCUGCUCGAAGGUGGAUUGUUGCUACAUUUCUCUCAGUCUCAUCAGGAGCAGAGAGGAGGACUUUCUUUACUCUCAGUAUGCAAUAGCUCCCAAACUGAAAAAUGAAGUAACUUUAUUUCAUACA